AUACGGAGGAUGCGAGCGUUAUCCGGAUUUAUUGGGUUUAAAGGGAGCGUAGGUGGGAUAUUAAGUCAGCUGUGAAAGUUUGGGGCUCAACCUUAAAAUUGCAGUUGAUACUGGCUGUCUUGAGUACAGUAGAGGUGGGCGGUAUUCGUGGUGUAGCGGUGAAAUGCUUAGAUAUCACGAAGAACUCCGAUUGCGAAGGCAGCUCACUGGACUGCAACUGACACUGAUGCUCGAAAGUGUGGGUAUCAAACAGGAUUAGAUACCCUGGUAGUCCACACAGUAAACGAUGAAUACUCGCUGUUUGCGAUAUACAGUAAGCGGCCAAGCGAAAGCAUUAAGUAUUCCACCUGGGGAGUACGCCGGCAACGGUGAAACUCAAAUGAAUUGGCGGGG
rnacentral:rRNA from 1 species